rnacentral:rRNA from 1 species
CCUACGGGUGGCAGCAGUGAGGAAUAUUGGUCAAUGGGCUAGAGCCUGAACCAGCCAAGUCGCGUGAGGGAUGACGGCCCUACGGGUUGUAAACUUCUUUUGUCAGGGAGCAAUUGGGUCCACGCGUGGGCUUAGCGAGAGUACCUGAAGAAAAAGCAUCGGCUAACUCCGUGCCAGCAGCCGCGGUAAUACGGAGGGGGCAAGCGUUAUCCGGAUUUAAUGGGUGUAAAGGGUGCGUAGGCGGCGAUGCAAGUCCGGGGUUAAAGCCCAGGGCUUAACCCUGGUACCGCCCUUGAAACUGGGGAGCUUGAGUGCGCGAGGGGUAGGCGGAAUGCGUAGUGUAGCGGUGAAAUGCGUAGAUAUCAGGCAGAACACCGACGGCGAAGGCGGCCUGCCGGACCCCAACUGACGUUGAGGCACGAAAGCGUGGGGAGCAAACAGGAUUAGAUACCCGGGUAGUC